UACGGAGGAUGCAAGCGUUAUCCGGAAUGAUUGGGCGUAAAGCGUCCGCAGGUGGCAAUGUAAGUCUGCUGUCAAAGCGUCUGGCUCAACCAGAUAAAGGCAGUGGAAACUACAUAGCUAGAGUAAGGUAGGGGUAGAGGGAAUUCCUGGUGUAGCGGUGAAAUGCGUAGAUAUCGAGAGGAACACCUGCGGCGAAGGCGGGUUGCUGGGCCGACACUGACGCUGAUGCGCGAAAGCCAGGGGAGCGAACGGG
rnacentral:rRNA from 1 species